UACGGGGGGAGCAAGCGUUGUUCGGAUUUACUGGGCGUAAAGGGCGCGUAGGCGGCCAGCGCAAGUCAGUUGUGAAAUCUUCCGGGCUUAACUCGGAAAGGUCAACUGAUACUGCGCGGCUAGAGUGCAGAAGGGGCAACUGGAAUUCUCGGUGUAGCGGUGAAAUGCGUAGAUAUCGAGAGGAACACCUGCGGCGAAGGCGGGUUGCUGGGCUGACACUGACGCUGAUGCGCGAAAGCCAGGGGAGCGAACGGG
rnacentral:rRNA from 1 species